UUAGUGAGGCUUCCGGAUUGAUUAACUGGAGAGGGCAACUUUUCUGGUUGAACGAGAAGCUAGUCAAACUUGGUCAUUUAGAGGAAGUAAAAGUCGUAACAAGGUUUCCGUAGGUGAACCUGCGGAAGGAUCAUUA
rnacentral:rRNA from 1 species